ensembl:lncRNA
GGCAACCAUUAAGAUAGUUAGAUAUCUUGAGCCAGAUCUCAGUUCAACCAGCACAGAUGAUACACUGUUGUCUGAUAACACAGAUUCACUAGAUCGUCUUUGCUGAUGGCCAGAGAUCUUUGUUAUUCCAACAUUCUCCUACGAGGUGGAGCAUGCUCUAAGAGAGGGCAACUAUGCAUUUGUCAAAGAGGGGAAAACUCUAAGCUUGACUAGGGAUCAAAAACACAACAUACUGGAUGGAAUGGCUGCUGAAAUAUAUAAGCAUAAAGCAUAUCCUAGUACCAAAAAUAUUCUCAUGGCUGCAGAGGCUCUGGUGAGCAAACACCCCUGCCUAAAAGAAAAAGGUUCCGGAACAGGGUAUGAGGGUUGGAAGAACAGCCUGCGCUUCAAGAUGGGCAACUACAGGACCAAACUGAGCAGGGCUGGCAUAAAGGAUGUGGCUGUGAAUGCCGGAAAACGCAGCAGGACCUAUCCAGAAGGUGCAGCAUCCAGGGCCAAAAUCAAAAGACCCAGAAGAGGAGAAAUAAACUUCAUGCCCAAUUAUCCCCAAGGAGAAACUAAGGACACACUGGAGAACCUGAGGCUUGAGAUGGUGGAGCAGUUCAAGAAGACAGUGACUGAUUAUCAUCCAUCAACAUAUGCAGUGUACCUUUGCACUCAGGCGUAAAGAAAUUGUGAAUUCAGCUCCUCCCAUUGCUGAAUUGAAAGGCCUGCACUCUUUUGUGAAGCCCAACUCUACAGUGAAUUCCACAGGAUCACCAAUCAAAAUCUACUGUAUUCCUUCUAUGCUGCACUUGACAAGUACACACCUCAGCUGUUGAAGCUCUACAAAAAGAGGAAGACUGGAAGUUUUGGUGAGAAGAUGGAAGACGUUUUGAGGGCAUAUGAGGAACAGGACAAGAACAACAUCACUGCAGCUCGAACAGCAGCCCUGGCUGGCCUACCACUGUACUUAAAGGAGGAUUCAUCAGAGGUCUUCAAAACCUGCAAGGAUGAGUUGGAGUCAAUCCAGGAUGGAGCAGUGGCUCUGGUGGCAGUGGUGAAUGAAGAGGAUGUGCCUGCUGGAGUUCCCUUUGAAAGUCACCACGUGUCAAUUGUCCUUGAGGAUCAGGUUGUAAUGUCUCACAGAUCUUGGACUGAUUCAUUGGUGAUUUUGUUUGGAAUGAUCUAUGCUCUUCAUUUGAGCUAUCCUGAGAAGCUAAGUGGCUUCUUUGAGUUCAUCCAGGUUAUCCUCUUAAACCUUGAUGAUGGAAGAAAGCAGCUCAAACCUAAGUUACAAGCCUUGAGAAAUGAGCUAUAGAGUAAAUGUGUUAACGUUCUUCUGUAGAAGGUCAGUAGUGUUCUGAAAAGUAUCUUUUUGCUUGCAUUCCAAAAAUGUUUCUGUUUAGAUUUCUGUGUUGCAACAGAUACUUGUGUACAUAAUUACAGCUGGGUUGGUUGGCUUUCUACUUUCUACUAGCUGAAGUUUAGAAACACGGGCACUAAUUUAGAAACAAACACGAUAAUUUAUUUUCUAUUUUUAGGUGAGUCUUAAUUAUAAUUUUAUUUUUAUCUGAGUCUUAAUUUCAUAGUGUU